rnacentral:tRNA from 1 species
GGAGAGAUGGCCGAGUGGUUUAAGGCGAUAGUCUUGAAAACUAUUAUAGGGGCAACUCUAUCGGGGGUUCAAAUCCCUCUCUCUCCG